rnacentral:tRNA from 1 species
GGUGAGUGGCUCAGCUGGUAAGAGCACUGGCUGCUCUUCAGAAGGUCCUGAGUUUAAAUCCCAGCAACCA